UAGCCCUUGCCCUUUUCUGUCUUAG
rnacentral:miRNA from 1 species